AGAGCGAACGCUGGCGGCAGGCUUAACACAUGCAAGUCGAGCGGGCGUAGCAAUACGUCAGCGGCAGACGGGUGAGUAACGCGUGGGAACGUACCUUUGGUUCGGAACAACCCAGGGAAACUUGGGCUAAUACCGGAUAAGCCCUUACGGGGAAAGAUUUAUCGCCGAAAGAUCGGCCCGCGUCUGAUUAGCUAGUUGGUGAGGUAAUGGCUCACCAAGGCGACGAUCAGUAGCUGGUCUGAGAGGAUGAUCAGCCACAUUGGGACUGAGACACGGCCCAAACUCCUACGGGAGGCAGCAGUGGGGAAUAUUGCGCAAUGGGCGAAAGCCUGACGCAGCGACGCCGCGUGGGGAUGAAGGCCUUCGGGUUGUAAACCCCUUUCAGCAGGGACGAAGCGAAAGUGACGGUACCUGCAGAAGAAGCGCCGGCUAACUACGCGCCAGCAGCCGC
rnacentral:rRNA from 1 species